CUGGGAGUCAGGACUCUUGGGUUCUGUUCCCAGCUCUGAGAGGAGAGUGUUGUCUUGUGCUUAGAAGCAGUGAGGACCCAGGACUCAGUGCUGUUCCUAGCUCUGCCACUGAUUUACCGUGUGAUCUUGGGCAAGUCAGAACUCUCUUCCUCAGUUUCCCCAUCUAUAAAAUAGGGAUUUUAAAAAAAUGUCUUCCCUUCACCACACAUAUCAAGGUUUGAUGUAUGUAAGAACCCACUGGAUUAAAGGCAGUAAUUAAGUUCAAAGCA